rnacentral:rRNA from 1 species
CGAGACCUCAGGUCAGACGGGGCUACCCGCUGAGUUAAAUCAUAUCUAUAAGCGGAGGAAAAGAAACUAACUAGGAUUCCCUUACUAACG